GAUGAACGCUGGCGGCGUGCCUAAUACAUGCAAGUCGAGCGAACUGAUUAGAAGCUUGCUUCUAUGACGUUAGCGGCGGACGGGUGAGUAACACGUGGGCAACCUGCCUGUAAGACUGGGAUAACUUCGGGAAACCGAAGCUAAUACCGGAUAGGAUCUUCUCCUUCAUGGGAGAUGAUUGAAAGAUGGUUUCGGCUAUCACUUACAGAUGGGCCCGCGGUGCAUUAGCUAGUUGGUGAGGUAACGGCUCACCAAGGCAACGAUGCAUAGCCGACCUGAGAGGGUGAUCGGCCACACUGGGACUGAGACACGGCCCAGACUCCUACGGGAGGCAGCAGUAGGGAAUCUUCCGCAAUGGGCAAAAGUCUGACGGAGCAACGCCGCGUGAGUGAUGAAGGCUUUCGGGUCGUAAAACUCUGUUGUUAGGGAAGAACAAGUACAAGAGUAACUGCUUGUACCUUGACGGUACCUAACCAGAAAGCCACGGCUAACUACGUGCCAGCCGCCGCAGUAAAAC
rnacentral:rRNA from 1 species